rnacentral:rRNA from 1 species
AGGAUAAACGCUGGCGGCGUGCAUGAGACAUGCAAGUCGAACGGACGAUCAGGGCUUGCUCUGAUCGUUAGUGGCGGACGGCUGAGUAACGCGUAGGUGACCUGCCCCGAAGUGGGGAAUAACUGCCCGAAAGGGUGGCUAAUACCGCAUGUGGUGGUGUGUUCAAUCACACCAGUAAAGCCGCAAGGCGCUUCGGGAGGGGCCUGCGUCCGAUUAGCUCGUUGGUGGGGUAACGGGCUCACCAAGGCGACGAUCGGUAGGUGGUCUGAGAGGACGAUCACCCAGACUGGGACUGAGACACGGCCCAGACUCCUACGGGAGGCAGCAGUCGGGAAUUUUGCGCAAUGGACGAAAGUCUGACGCAGCAACGCCGCGUGAGGGAUGAAGGCCUUCGGGUUGUAAACCUCUUUUAUCAGGGAAGAUAAUGACGGUACCUGAUGAAUAAGUCACGGCUAACUACGUGCCAGCAGCCGC